rnacentral:rRNA from 1 species
GGCCUUUUGUGAAUGAUUUAAGGUCUGACCUGCCCAAUGAUAAAAAUUUAAUGGCCGCAGUAUUUUGACUGUGCAAAGGUAGCAUAAUCAUUAGUUUUUUAAUUGAAAGCUGGAAUGAAUGGUUUGAUGAAAAAAUAGCUGUCUCAUUUUAGAUGUUUUAGAAUUUUAAUUUUAAGUGAAAAAGCUUAAAUUAUUUAGAAAGACGAGAAGACCCUAUAGAGUUUAAUAUUUUAAUAUUAAAUUUUAAGUUAGAUUUUAUAUUAAAUGUAGUAUUAAAGUAUUUUGUUGGGGUGAUGUAAAAAUUAAAUUAACUUUUUAUUAUUUAAACAUUAAUUAAUGAUUUUAUGAUCCUAAUUUUUAGAUUAAAAGAAUAAAUUACCUUAGGGAUAACAGCGUAAUUUUUUUAGAGAGUUCUUAUCGAUAGAAAAGUUUGCGA